rnacentral:rRNA from 1 species
GGGGAAUCUUGCGCAAUGGGCGAAAGCCUGACGCAGCGACGCCGCGUGGGGGAAGAAGGCUUUCGGGUUGUAAACCCCUUUCAGGAGGGACGAAGCCACUCGGGUGAAUAGCCCAGAGGGUGACGGUACCUCCAGAAGAAGCCCCGGCUAACUACGUGCCAGCAGCCGCGGUAAUACGGAGGGGGCUAGCGUUGUUCGGAAUUACUGGGCGUAAAGCGCACGUAGGCGGCGACUCAAGUCAGAGGUGAAAGCCCGGGGCUCAACCCCGGAACUGCCUUUGAAACUAGGUUGCUAGAAUCUUGGAGAGGUCAGUGGAAUUCCGAGUGUAGAGGUGAAAUUCGUAGAUAUUCGGAAGAACACCAGUGGCGAAGGCGACUGACUGGACAAGUAUUGACGCUGAGGUGCGAAAGCGUGGGGAGCAAAC